GUGGGUAACCUGCCUUAUAGUGGGGGAUAGCCUUUCGAAAGGAAGAUUAAUACCGCAUAAGACUGUAGUAUCGCAUGAUAUAGCAAUUAAAGGAGCAAUCCGCUAUAAGAUGGACCCGCGUCGCAUUAGCUAGUUGGUGAGGUGAUGGCUCACCAAGGCGACGAUGCGUAGCCGACCUGAGAGGGUGAUCGGCCACAUUGGGACUGAGACACGGCCCAGACUCCUACGGGAGGCAGCAUG
rnacentral:rRNA from 1 species